GGAAUCUUGCGCAAUGGCCGAAAGGCUGACGCAGCGACGCCGCGUGCGGGAGGAAGGUCUUCGGAUCGUAAACCGCUGUCGGGAGGGAAGAAGAGACCGGGGAGGCAAUGCCCUGGUUUUGACGGUACCUCCAAAGGAAGCACCGGCUAACUCCGUGCCAGCAGCCGCGGUAAUACGGAGGGUGCAAGCGUUGUUCGGAAUUAUUGGGCGUAAAGCGCGCGCAGGCGGCCGCAUAAGUCUAUGGGUGAAAUGCCGGGGCUCAACCCCGUGCAUGCCCAGGAUACUGUGCGGCUGGAGACACGUAGAGGCAAGCGGAAUUCCGGGUGUAGCGGUGGAAUGCGUAGAGAUCCGGAAGAACACCGGAGGCGAAGGCGGCUUGCUGGGCGUGAUCUGACGCUGAGGCGCGAAAGCGUGGGGAGCGAAC
rnacentral:rRNA from 1 species